rnacentral:rRNA from 1 species
GUGCCAGCAGCCGCGGUAACACGUAGGGGGCAAGCGUUGUCCGGAUUUAUUGGGCGUAAAGAGCUCGUAGGUGGUUCGGUAAGUCAGGUGUGAAACCUCCAGGCUCAACCUGGAGACGCCACUUGAUACUGCUGUGACUGGAGUCCGGUAGGGGAGCGUGGAAUUCCUGGUGUAGCGGUGAAAUGCGCAGAUAUCAGGAGGAACACCAGCGGCGAAGGCGGCGCUCUGGGCCGGUACUGACACUGAGGAGCGAAAGCGUGGGUAGCAAACAGGAUUAGAAACCCGCGUAGUCC